rnacentral:lncRNA from 1 species
CCAAAAGCGCCUCUUAGCCUCCUCGUCUAAGCCCGAAUACUGAUGACGUUGAGGACGCAACCACCAAUAACCAACUUAAUAGACAUUAACCUAUCAUUCACUCCCCUAACCUCAACCACGGACUCCCUUAGAUCCCUAUCUACCAAGAUACCCACUCUAUUCUUACCACUCACGACCCCAGAAUACCACAGCUUAAACCCGUCUACAUUCCUCGCCUUCG